AUUGAACGCUGGCGGCAUGCUUUACACAUGCAAGUCGAACGGUAACGCGGGGCAACCCUGGCGACGAGUGGCGAACGGGUGAGUAAUACAUCGGAACAUGUCCUGGAGUGGGGGAUAGCUCGGCGAAAGCCGGAUUAAUACCGCAUACGCUCUGAGGAGGAAAGCGGGGGACCUGGUAACGGCCUCGCGCUGCGGGAGUGGCCGAUGUCGGAUUAGCUAGUUGGUGAGGAAAGGCUCACCAAGGCGACGAUCCGUAGCUGGUCUGAGAGGAUGAUCAGCC
rnacentral:rRNA from 1 species